GAUGAACGCUGGCGGCGUGCCUAAUACAUGCAAGUCGAGCGAACGGACGAGAAGCUUGCUUCUCUGAUGUUAGCGGCGGACGGGUGAGUAACACGUGGAUAACCUACCUAUAAGACUGGGAUAACUUCGGGAAACCGGAGCUAAUACCGGAUAAUAUUUUGAACCGCAUGGUUCAAAAGUGAAAGACGGUCUUGCUGUCACUUAUAGAUGGAUCCGCGCUGCAUUAGGUAGUUGGUAAGGUAACGGCUUACCAAGGCAACGAUGGAUAGCCGACCUGAGAGGGUGAUCGGCCACACCGGAACCGAGACCACGGCCCGACCCCCAAGGGAGGCAGAAGUAGGGAAUCUUCCGCAAUGGGCGAAAGCCCUAAGGAACAACCGCGCGGUAGUUAUUAAGGUCCUUCGAUCCUAAAACCCCUUUAUUAGGGAAGAAAAUAUGUUGAAGUAACUGUGCACAUCUUGACGGUACCUAAUCAGAAAGCCACGGCUAACUACGUG
rnacentral:rRNA from 1 species